rnacentral:rRNA from 1 species
GACGAACGCUGGCGGCGUGCUUAACACAUGCAAGUCGAACGGAAAGGCCCUGCUUUUGUGGGGUGCUCGAGUGGCGAACGGGUGAGUAACACGUGAGUAACCUGCCCUUGACUUUGGGAUAACUUCAGGAAACUGGGGCUACUACCGUAUAGGAGCUCCUGCUGCAUGGUGGGGGUUGGAACGUUUCGGCGGUUGGGGAUGGACUCGCGGCUUAUCAGCUUGUUGGUGGGGUAGUGGCUUACCAAGGCUUUGACGGGUAGCCGGCCUGAGAGGGUGACCGGCCACAUUGGGACUGAGAUACGGCCCAGACUCCUACGGGAGGCAGCAGUGGGGAAUAUUGCACAAUGGGCGGAAGCCUGAUGCAGCAACGCCGCGUGCGGGAUGACGGCCUUCGGGUUGUAAACCGCUUUCGCCUGUGACGAAGCGUGAGUGACGGUAAUGGGUAAAGAAGCACCGGCUAACUACGUG